AUGAUUUUAGUGCUUGCACUAAAUGAAACUAGAUACAAGCGAGCGGCGGACGGGUGAGUAACACGUGGGUAACCUGCCCAAGAGACUGGGAUAACACCUGGAAACAGAUGCUAAUACCGGAUAACAACACUAGACGCAUGUCUAGAGUUUGAAAGAUGGUUCUGCUAUCACUCUUGGAUGGACCUGCGGUGCAUUAGCUAGUUGGUAAGGUAACGGCUUACCAAGGCAAUGAUGCAUAGCCGAGUUGAGAGACUGAUCGGCCACAUUGGGACUGAGACACGGCCCAAACUCCUACGGGAGGCAGCAGUAGGGAAUCUUCCACAAUGGACGAAAGUCUGAUGGAGCAACGCCGCGUGAGUGAAGAAGGGUUUCGGCUCGUAAAGCUCUGUUGGUAGUGAAGAAAGAUAGAGGUAGUAACUGGCCUUUAUUUGACGGUAAUUACUUAGAAAGUCACGGCUAACUACGUGCCAGCAGCCGCGGUAAUACGUAGGUGGCAAGCGUUGUCCGGAUUUAUUGGGCGUAAAGCGAGUGCAGGCGGUUCAAUAAGUCUGAUGUGAAAGCCUUCGGCUCAACCGGAGAAUUGCAUCAGAAACUGUUGAACUUGAGUGCAGAAGAGGAGAGUGGAACUCCAUGGGUU
rnacentral:rRNA from 1 species